AUUGAACGCUGGCGGCAGGCCUAACACAUGCAAGUCGAGCGAGCGGCGGACGGGUGAGUAAUGUAUGGGGACUGCCCGAUAGAGGGGGAUAACUACUGGAAACGGUGGCUAAUACCGCAUACUAUCGGAUAACCCAUAUGGGAUUAGCUAGUAGGUGGGGUAAAGGCUAGCCUAGGCGACGAUCUCUAGAUGGUCUGAGAGGAUGAUCAGCCACACUGGGACUGAGACACGGCCCAGAAUCCUACGGAGGCAGCAGUGGUGAAUAUUGCACAAUGGGCGCAAGCCUGAUGCAGCCAUGCCGCGUGUAUUAAGAAGGCCUUAGGUUUGUAAAGUUCUUUCGGUAGCGAGGCGUUAACUACAGAAGAAGCACCGGCUAACUCCGUGCCAGCAGCCGCGGUAAUUC
rnacentral:rRNA from 1 species